UACGUAGGGGGCAAGCGUUGUCCGGAUUUAUUGGGCGUAAAGAGCGUGUAGGCGGCCAGACAGGUCCGUUGUGAAAACUCGAGGCUCAACCUCGAGACGCCGAUGGAAACCGUCUGGCUAGAGUCCGGAAGAGGAGAGUGGAAUUCCCGGUGUAGCGGUGAAAUGCGCAGAUAUCGGGAAGAACACCCGUGGCUAAGGCGGCUCUCUAGUACGGUACUGACGCUGAGACGCGAAAGCGUGGGGGAGCAAACAGG
rnacentral:rRNA from 1 species